GGACCGGUUAGCUCAGUUGGUUAGAGUGUGGUGCUGAUAACACCAAGGUCGCGGGUUCAAUCCCCAUUCGGUCCC
rfam:Apaloderma vittatum contig23193, whole genome shotgun sequence.